CAGUGUGACUCGUCACACUAUCAUUAACUGAAUCCAUAGGUUAAUGAGGCGAACCGGGGGAACUGAAACAUCUAAGUACCCCGAGGAAAAGAAAUCAACCGAGAUUCCCCCAGUAGCGGCGAGCGAACGGGGAGGAGCCCAGAGCCUGAAUCAGCAUGUGUGUUAGUGGAAGCGUCUGGAAAGGCGCGCGAUACAGGGUGACAGCCCCGUACACAAAAGCGCAUGUGCUGUGAGCUCGAUGAGUAGGGCGGGACACGUGGUAUCCUGUCUGAAUAUGGGGGGACCAUCCUCCAAGGCUAAAUACUCCUGACUGACCGAUAGUGAACCAGUACCGUGAGGGAAAGGCGAAAAGAACCCCGGCGAGGGGAGUGAAAAAGAACCUGAAACCGUGUACGUACAAGCAGUGGGA
rnacentral:rRNA from 1 species